UUGAAACAUUGGUUCCCAUACUAUCACUGAAAUUAAGCAACAUUAAGCUUGGUCAGUACCUAGAUGGGUGAGCACUUGGGAAUACCAGGUGCUGUAAG